rnacentral:lncRNA from 1 species
CGGAGUUGCUGGGUCAAAGAAAACGUGCAGUGGGAACUUUGAGAGCCAUUGCCGAAUGAUCUGUUCAUCUCGAUUCAUUUCUCUGUUCAUUUCAUUCAUUCUUUCAUCUGUUGAAUGAAUAAUGGGACUCUAGUCAACUGCCAGGCACAGCGGCAAGCUGGAGUGCCUGGAGUAAUUUUCUGGACAGAGCACCUGCCCUCUGGGAGCAGAUAUUCUAGUGGGGUAGAUGACGUCAGGUAAAAGAUGCUUGGAAGAAAAGGAAAUCAGGAUAAGGGGACUGAGAGUGACAGAGGUCACGGAGUGACAGGUGGUCAGAGAAGGCUGCUCUGAGGAGGUGACAUUUGAGAAGAGGCAUGAAAGAAGGUAGACGGUGACAGAAUCGAUGGAACUGUAGGACAUCCUGCUGGUGUCGGAGAAUUGCUUGGUGUCGGGGAAGGCGUCACAAGUCAGACUGGGUGCAGAACAGUCAGCAACCAGGGUUUCUUGGUACUUUGCUGCAAGCCUGUUUGCUGUAGACAUCUUUGCCACGAGUAUUUUCGCUGCAUAACCACUUGGCCUUAUGGCAAUUUUGCUGUAAAAGAUAAAAAUCACGAAAAAUAAAAGAGGGCCAUUCAUUCCAAAGGACACAACAAAACGUGAAAAAGAUGAAUAACAAAAUUAAAAGGACUUUAUUGUGAAAUACAAAAGAUUUGAAUAGGUUUAAAAUAUGUGUCUGGAGAUUCACGGCAGUCCUGCCCAAAGAACCAGUUUUAUUUUGUGUGUGUGGAUUGCACCUCACUAAGCACCUUCCUUUGUUCCGUGGGACAUGUGGGUUCAACUCUGCCCCCUUGAAGAAGAGGCCCUCGGCCCUCUUCUCCUCCUCCAAUAUAGUGUGAUUCAAAAUAAGAAACAACUCUUGGGGCAAAUCAUCGACACGGUCAGCUCGAUGAAGCCAUCAGUAAGACACUGACUGGAAGAAAUGCCAAGUAUUUUAGACCGCUACCGUCACCACCAUGUCUGCAGGUCACUGUGGAGACCACUCUGAGAGCUAGCCAAGAUUUAUAGCAUAUAAAAAUGGGAGGAACUGUGAGAACUUCGUCAAUGGAGAAGUGAAACCAAACUGGAAAAAAAAGACAAAACUGUCAACCAGUUAUGUUCUUUUCUUUUAUGGCGGUUGAUUCGUCAACGGAGAAAUAAAAGGAAA